rnacentral:rRNA from 1 species
UACGUAGGGUGCGAGCGUUAAUCGGAAUUACUGGGCGUAAAGCGUGCGCAGGCGGUUCGUUGUGUCGGUGGUGAAAGCCCCGGGCUUAACCUGGGAAUGGCCAUGGAAACUGGCGAACUGGAGUGUGGCAGAGGGGGGUGGAAUUCCGCGUGUAGCAGUGAAAUGCGUAGAGAUGCGGAGGAACACCGAUGGCGAAGGCAGCCCCCUGGGCUAACACUGACGCCUCAGGCACGAAAGCGUGGGGAGCAAACAGGG